rnacentral:lncRNA from 1 species
CACGCAGAAGGUUGAUACCUCACUAUUCUCUUGCUCCUGUGUGGCUACUCUGUAAGGCAGAUAAAAUCAGGAAGUAUUGAAGAAGUCUUAAAUGAAGAUAACAUUCAGAUUUAAUAAACAUAAGCAGCCAUAAAAAGUAGCCAGUUUAUUAGGAAGAAGAAUCAACAGACAGUCUCAAAGAGCAAGAACUCAAAGCAG